rnacentral:rRNA from 1 species
CCUACGGGGGGCAGCAGUGGGGAAUAUUGGGCAAUGGGCGCAAGCCUGACCCAGCAACGCCGCGUGAAGGAUGAAGGCUUUCGGGUUGUAAACUUCUUUUAUCAGGGACGAACAAAAUGACGGUACCUGAUGAAUAAGCCACGGCUAACUGCGUGCCAGCAGCCGCGGUAAUACGUAGGUGGCAAGCGUUAUCCGGAUUUACUGGGUGUAAAGGGCGUGUAGGCGGGACUGCAAGUCAGGUGUGAAAACCACGGGCUCAACCUGUGGCCUGCAUUUGAAACUGUAGUUCUUGAGUGCUGGAGAGGCAAUCGGAAUUCCGUGUGUAGCGGUGAAAUGCGUAGAUAUACGGAGGAACACCAGUGGCGAAGGCGGAUUGCUGGACAGUAACUGACGCUGAGGCGCGAAAGCGUGGGGAGCAAACAGGAUUAGAUACCCCAGUAGUC